rnacentral:misc_RNA from 1 species
AAUUAGUCUUAUGGAAGCAAGAAAAAGAAACCACAGCUUGUGAAUAUAAGCAAAAUGAUUGGCACCAUUGGCAUCUAUGAUGUUACACACCACUACUAACAAUCACAAUCACCGCCAUGACAGCACUCAGGCCACCAUGUCACUAUAUGAUGGCUUUUCCUUAUCACUGACCAUGCUGCCACCACCUUUAAUAAUCUCAAAUUAAGAUUACCAUUCAAUCAUUGUCGUGCAAAUCAACUUUGUUCGUUAAAGAAUGUUCCCAGAACUGAACUGAUCACUCAGCCCCCUUGUUGUGCCA